rnacentral:rRNA from 1 species
UACGUAGGGGGCAAGCGUUGUCCGGAAUCAUUGGGCGUAAAGAGCGUGUAGGCGGUUCGGUAAGUCGGCUGUGAAAGUCCAGGGCUCAACCCUGGGAUGCCGGUCGAUACUGCCGGACUAGAGUUCGGAAGAGGCGAGUGGAAUUCCCGGUGUAGCGGUGAAAUGCGUAGAUAUCGUGGAGGAAUACCGGUGGCGAAGGCGGCAUCCUGGACCAUUACUGACG